UGUUGCUACAACCACUUAGACUGCUCUUUUCUACUAGAUGCAGGUUCAUGGACACUGUGCGUGUCGUCAACUUUAUUUUUCUCUCAGUAACUUUACAGGCAGAUGUUCUUGCUGAAAGUGUUUAUGGCUUACUCUAUUUUGGUUCCAUUUCUUGGUAAUUCUUUUCAGUCGGUGUUUCAUUGACAUACUAAGGUCAGAUUGUUAGUAUUAUUUCGUUUUAAACUUCAUGCUUUCUAUUU
rnacentral:lncRNA from 1 species